AGUUUAAAGAUGCGUUACAUCAAAUUACAUUCAAAUUUAUUACAAUGGAGUUUAUGUAUAAAUAGACGGACCGUCCCCCGAGAGGGUCGAUCCGUCUCACAAGUGCACAGGUGUGUGUGGAUGAAUAGAGAAGGCGUGCACAUGCCUCAGUGAAGAGGCCAGCGACAACCGACUCUGAUUUCAUUCGAUAAUGAUCCUUCCGCAGGUUCACCUACGGAAA
rnacentral:misc_RNA from 1 species